rnacentral:rRNA from 1 species
CGCGUAGGCGGUUCGUACAGUCAGACGUGAAAUUCCUGGGCUCAACCUGGGGGCUGCGUUUGAUACGUGCGGGCUUGAGUUCGGAAGAGGGUCGUGGAAUUCCCAGUGUAGAGGUGAAAUUCGUAGAUAUUGGGAAGAACACCGGUGGCGAAGGCGGCGACCUGGUCCGAUACUGACGCUGAGGCGCGAAAGCGUGGGGAAGCAAACA